rfam:Colletotrichum higginsianum, IMI 349063, WGS project CACQ02000000 data, contig: cont1.2988
GGCCCUCUGGCGCAACGGUAGCGCGUUCGACUCCAGUUCUGGAAUGYMAUCGAAAGGUUAUCCGUUCAAAUCGGGUGGGGGUCA